rnacentral:misc_RNA from 1 species
AAAAUAUAACCGGACCGGUUCGUUGCUUGCAGCGGGCUGCGAAGGGAGAUAUUAUAUACCCUGUACUUACCUACCUUUGUUGCUUUGGCGGGUCGUCCGUUCAGGCGUCGGCCCCGGCCGAUCGUGCCCGCCAGAGGACCCAAACUCUGAAUGUUAGUGUCGUCUGAGUACUAUACAAUAGUUA